rnacentral:rRNA from 1 species
UGUGGCCUAAAUAGCUAAAGGCAUCAAAUCCCAUUUGAUCUUGGAAGCUAAGCAGGGUCAGCCCUGGUUAAUAAUUGGAUGGAAAACUGCCAAGGAACACCAGGUUAUGCAGCCU